CUCCCUCACACUCCUUCCGCUUCUUGCUCCGGCUUCUGCCGCCUUCCCCAAUGAAUUUCUGAAAUGAAAGGAGCCUAUUCCCUGCCUUUCCACCAGUGCAGAAUGAAAAUGAGAGCAAGGAACAGCAGAGCACAGGGUCUUGCUCUGAGUGAAUGCACCCCUCGUGCACCCGGGAGCUGAGAUUAAUAAUGAAUAUAAGAAAACGUUUGUGAAAAUUAACUGCAAGUGAUUGGGAAGCUUGUGUGUAUUGGGCUUUGGUUUGUUUCAAAGAUCAUCCAAAUCAGAAUCUGAGCUUAUUAAAAUGCUGUUUCCUGGACAGACCUCAGCCUGCAGAAGCAGAAUCUCCGUGGUGGGAUCCAGAGCUUGUAUCUUGGCCAAGCCCUCCCAGAAGUUUCUAACAUACACUGAAGGUUCUCCUGCUUCAAGAGCCAAGAUCCUCAGGCACAAAAUCAGGCAACAGGAGUCCUGGGCUCUGCCCUUGCUUGUGGAGUUCUGGAAACGAAUGCAUUUGGAGUAGGUGAUGUUUAAUGAUCCUUUCUGUUCUCAAUUCCUGUAAUACAAAUAAACAAUAAAAUACUUACAUCUUUAUUAUUUACAUUAUAGUUUAAAGUUGUAUAUAUUGAUGCAAACAAUUAGGUAAGAUAAAAUAAACAGAAAAAAUAACAGAUUUAUUCAUCAGAAAAUAUGAUCUAUUCAUCAGAGAAUGUCAAAGAAAUCCAAGAAAUGUCUUUGUAUGAGGAAAAUGAGCAAUUGUGGAUUUUACCAAAGGAUUAGAGACACUGGGUUUUCUUCAAAUCUGUCUGUGAGGCUUUCAAAGGGCAGGGCCUCAGCCCAGAGCACAUGCUUGGUACACACAUGCAUCAGUGGUUCCUUGAGCUGUAUUAAAUUCAUGGAGAGAAAAAAAUCAAGGUCAACUUGUGCUUUUUUCCCCGACUGUAAAGGUUUUGCCUGUAAUCCCCUGCUUUAUGUGAAUAAUUUGUUUCACAUGAGUUGAAUACUGUUUAAACAAGCCAAGUAUCACAUUCCUUUUGUCUGAAUAGCUGUAGAGGACAUAUUUUAAGGUAAACUAAUUAAGAAUGGGCUUUCAAAAGGCCUAUUUUUAAGAAGGUGAAAAAUCAAGAGAUAGGAAGUGUUGUCUGGGUAAAGUCAAGCAACGUGAAAGCCGGUUGGAAUGUUUAUGACCAGCUCCCUCUCACUGUGGUCCGAGGGCCAACCUGAACACAAAUUCUUCUUGUGCUAGGAGCGGGGUUUGGGGUUGUAAUUUGAUCCUUUCAAUUAUACAGCAAAUGCAGCCACUGUGAAUUGUACCAGGACUAUCCAGCUUCCACAGUGCAUGACUAUACUGAUAUUCUCCUGCAGAAAAUGAAAUCUUCCAGACUGCCAUUGGUUCUGGCCAUUUGAAUGUUAAAUAUGGGUAAUAACUGCAGUGGUUUACACUCAAAUAUUUAGAAAAUGCUCUUUAGCAAUCCUAACGAAAAUCAGAUGUACCUUGCCCCAGCCCCACAUAAGCACUUCUGUAAAUGUCAUUUGUAAGUCUACAGCUUGCUUUUCUGUCAAGAAAUGCAUGCCGCUUUUGGGGAAUAUUUUCAAUUUACAAUCCAUUUUCACCUGCGAGCCUCUAGAAUGAUUGCUGGGGAAUGGGAUUUUUUAGAUGGUUUAGGCCAUUUCCGACUAUUCCAUGGCAUGGCCCAGAAUUUUGUGAAUUACAAAGAAGUUAAGAUCAGCA
rnacentral:lncRNA from 1 species